CACCACAUAACUCAGACGGAUGCCUGUCAGGCAUCGCAGGGAAGCCGGUUGAAAUCCGGCGCGGUCCCGCCGCUGUGAUCGGGGACUUAAGGCCGCAAUUAAGCCACUACCGCUUUUAAUAGGGGUGGGAAGGCGCGGCCGGGGAUGAUCCGGGAGCCAGAAUACCUGUUCGUCAGAGGCCUUUUAG
rnacentral:ncRNA from 1 species